AUUAACUCUAAUGACAGCCCCACUUUUGGCUAAGAUCAAAGUUUAGUUUUUGUUCUUAUCGAAUUAACCUUUGAUAGAGGAUCGAAAGAGUCUCGUUAAGGUUGUUUGAUUCAGAUCAGUUUGCGAGCUUGCUGGCACCUCAUCGAAGGUCGGCUCGGCGUGGCACUGCUGCUGGGAUCGGCCCAUUUCCG
rnacentral:snRNA from 1 species